AUGCACGCUGGCGGCGUGCCUAAUACAUGCAAGUCGAGCGAACAGACGAGGAGCUUACUCCUCUGACGUUAGCGGCGGACGGGUGAGUAACACGUGGAUAACCUACCUAUAAGACUGGGAUAACUUCGGGAAACCGGAGCUAAUACCGGAUAACAUGUUGAACCGCAUGGUUCAACAGUGAAAGACGGUCUUGCUGUCACUUAUAGAUGGAUCCGCGUCGCAUUAGCUAGUUGGUAAGGUAACGGCUUACCAAGGCAACGAUGCGUAGCCGACCUGAGAGGGUGAUCGGCCACACUGGAACUGAGACACGGUCCAGACUCCUACGGGAGGCAGCAGUAGGGAAUCUUCCGCAAUGGGCGAAAGCCUGACGGAGCAACGCCGCGUGAGUGAAGAAGGUCUUCGGAUCGUAAAACUCUGUUAUUAGGGAAGAACAAAUGUGUAAGUAACUAUGCACGUCUUGACGGUACCUAAUCAGAAAGCCACGGCUAACUACGUG
rnacentral:rRNA from 1 species